AGCCCAACUCCAAAUCCGGUGACCCCUCUCUUCUCUCUAAACCCCCAAAUUCAUCACCCUAAAUCUCAUCCAAAAUUGAGAACUCUCGACUUCCUUCAUCUUCUCCGAUUCAAAAUCGAACCUCUACCAUCUUCUCCGUUUCGAAGUCGGAGCUCCAUCUCCACCGAUUUACUUUGGCGCCUCAAUCGUCCGGUCACAGUGGUCUCGCUCACUCCCAUCGUCUCCGGCCGCUUGACGAGCAGGGCCGUCGCCCGCUGUGUCGCUCAGCGCCGGCUCUCCGCGCUGUAGCUCCGUCCGCGGCAGCACUCUCCUUUCGAUCCUUCCGUCAGACGGUACGGCGGCACUGGAGUCGCCUCUGCCGCUGACGGCCUCCGCCACCACUCGCAAACGGGCAGCUCCGUCCGCACAUCGUCGGUCAGCCGUCACAUAAGCUAAGCUCUCUAUCCCUUCCCCUUUUUUUCCACUUUAUAAAAUUAGUUUUGGGUUCGGGCAGUGGCUAUGUUGGAUGCCCUUGAUUGUAGUAUCUAAAAUCGUGAUCUUUGGAGAAAACUUUCUAUUUCACUGCAUUGAAUCCUUUGUUUGCGUUCCAUUCUUAAGUUGUGAGUUUUUCUUAUUAUUUGUGAAACUUAGCAGAUGCUUGCUCUUGACGAUUGCUGUGAGAGUCCUAUUGAAAUCUAAGUUCUUGGCUAGUUGAUGAGGUUGAUCUUACAUGAUGCAAGGUAGCACAUAGAGAGGAGGCAAGACUGUUGGGAGUAGGAGCUGCUGCAGCAUUUAAACUUGUUUCUGCCAUCCUGCUGCCGAGACCUGGGCCGACAGCUGCUUCGGGCCCGGCCCGUGAAGGGUGCGAUUUGGGCCUGGGGAGAAGGUCCAAAAGUGCAAGCUACAUAGCAAUAUAAUUUCUUAAGCUCUUGGCCCAUACUUGUGUAUUUUGUAAUAGCAUCCAUAAUUCCUUUUUCUUAAACUCAUAAACCCACAUGUAAUUAUGUAAGCUAAAGCGUAGUUUGGGAUGUAGUCGAACAUUCUAGUUCGGGAAUGAACUCUUCGUAUUCUUCCUCGGCGUUUGUUAUGUUUCAUAAAUAUAGGUAAUUGUUUUAGUUCAA